CCUACGGGAGGCAGCAGUGGGGAAUAUUGCACAAUGUGGGAAACCCUGAUGCAGCGACGCCGCGUGAGUGAAGAAGUAAUUCGUUAUGUAAAGCUCUAUCAGUAGGGAAGAAAAUGACGGUACCUGAGUCAGAAGCCCCGGCUAACUACGUGCCAGCAGCCGCGGUAAUACGUAGGGGGCAAGCGUUAUCCGGAUUUACUGGGUGUAAAGGGAGCGUAGACGGCAGUGCAAGUCUGGAGUGAAAGGCGGGGGCUCAACCCCCGGACUGCUCUGGAAACUGUACGGCUGGAGUGCAGGAGAGGUAAGUGGAAUUCCUAGUGUAGCGGUGAAAUGCGUAGAUAUUAGGAGGAACACCAGUGGCGAAGGCGGCUUACUGGACUGUAACUGACGUUGAGGCUCGAAAGCGUGGGGAGCAAACAGGAUUAGAUACCCCAGUAGUC
rnacentral:rRNA from 1 species